UACGUAGGGGGGCAAGCGUUGUCCGGAUUUAUUGGGCGUAAAGAGCGUGUAGGCGGCCAUACAGGUCAGCUGUGAAAACUCGAGGCUCAACCUCGAGACGUCGGUUGAAACCGUAUGGCUAGAGUCCGGAAGAGGAGAGUGGAAUUCCCGGUGUAGCGGUGAAAUGCGCAGAUAUCGGGAAGAACACCCCGUGGCGAAGGCAGAUCUCUGGGCCGUAACUGACGCUGAGGAGCGAAAGCGUGGGGAGCGAACAGG
rnacentral:rRNA from 1 species